rnacentral:ncRNA from 1 species
GUUCAACUGGAGAUAGGGUACAACAUCUAGAAGAGCACCACAUGUCUUGCGGUGUUUGGUUCCCCCUUGUAGGCCAUUGAAAAUAUGGAGAAUCGAGUACCAUCCAUGCCUGAUCGUACUCAUAUCUGCCUCAGAUUUUC